rnacentral:rRNA from 1 species
AACGAACGCUGGCGGCGUGGAUUAGGCAUGCAAGUCGAACGCGAAAGAGGGGGUAACUCCUCGAGUAGAGUGGCGAACGGGUGAGUAACACGUGAGAAACCUGCCUUCAGCAGGGGGAUAACACUCCCAACGGGGUGCUAAUACCGCAUGAGACCACGGAUUCGCAUGGAUCUGGGGUCAAAGGUGGCCUCUGCUUGCAAGCUACUGGCUGAAGAUGGUCUCGCGCCCAUUAGCUAGUUGGUGGGGUAAUGGCCUACCAAGGCGACGAUGGGUAGCUGGUCUGAGAGGAUGGUCAGCCACACUGGGACUGAGAUA